rnacentral:rRNA from 1 species
UGGGGAAUUUUGGACAAUGGGGGCAACCCUGAUCCAGCCAUGCCGCGUGCAGGAAGAAGGCCUUCGGGUUGUAAACUGCUUUCGGCCGGGACGAAAUCGCCUCUCCUAACACGGGGGGUGGAUGACGGUACCGGAAGAAGAAGCACCGGCUAACUACGUGCCAGCAGCCGCGGUAAUACGUAGGGUGCGAGCGUUAAUCGGAAUUACUGGGCGUAAAGCGUGCGCAGGCGGAUGCUUAAGCCAGACGUGAAAGCCCUGGGCUUAACCUAGGAAUGGCGUUUGGAACUGGGCAUCUAGAGUGCGGCAGAGGGAGGUGGAAUUCCUGGUGUAGCAGUGAAAUGCGUAGAGAUCAGGAGGAACACCGAUGGCGAAGGCAGCCUCCUGGGCUGACACUGACGCUCAUGCACGAAAGCGUGGGGAGCAAACAGGAUUAGAUACCCUGGUAGUCCACGCCCUAAACGAUGUCGACUGGCUGUUGGGGGCGCGAGUCCUUAGUAGCGAAGCUAACGCGUGAAGUCGACCGCCUGGGGAGUACGGCCGCAAGGUUG